ensembl:lncRNA
CAGAGUACCUUCUUGCGGCUGGCUAAGGAAAGCUCCAAUCACUCUUGGCAAUUGUCUGAAUCUCCUGGAUCCAGGCAUGAAGUUGUGUUGCCACAGGCAGAGACUCUGGGCUCUCCCCCACAGCCACAAGUGAAGGAAGCUUUGGGCUUGUGGGUGCAAGCACAGAAGCUGGACCCCCAUGAUUACGGUAAACUUGUCAAUCAGUGCCCAGAGGCAGUCAACACAAUGCAGUUGUGCCAGAUACGUAGAGUGACUUGCCAAGAUACUCUCUCUGCAUCACUGAGAUACAAGGAGCCUGAUCCUCCUGCCAGCUUGUGCCCCAGGCUCUGCAAAUCUGUGCCUUUCAGAAGUCCAUGGUUGCCUUUCCUUUGCCAGCAGGGAUAAGUAACAGCAAGUGGGCUGGGGAGCUCUCUCAGAUCUGAUUUUUUGGGGGUAGUUGAAAAGUUUCAAAUCUCAGUUCUGUUUAUUUAAAACACAAAUCCAGCUGAAAUGUGUAUCUGUGAACCAGAGAAGUGAUCAAAAAAGGUCUGCACCUUUUUUUUUUUUUUUUUUUUUUUUUUCUCUUGAGAAUUAAUCACUUGGCUGUGUUAUUCUUACUGUAAUCUUUCUGUGAUGCUUAAUCUGGAAGAUGUACUUGCAGCUGUCUUGGUAAUAUUCUCCUGCUGGCAUCAUCAGAUCUGUUAUUUGUACCAUUUACCUGUUUUCAAAGCACAUCAGGUUUAUGUAUUAUUUUUCGACUGCUUUAGCUUUGUACUUUUACACCUAAAGAAAUGAGUAUGCUUUCUUUGAUGCCAUUUUUCCAUUUUUGAUAAACUAAUAUUAAAAAUAAAGGCUGUUUGAAAUCUGA